rnacentral:rRNA from 1 species
UCUUGGUCAUUUAGAGGAAGUAAAAGUCGUAACAAGGUUUCCGUAGGUGAACCUGCGGAAGGAUCAUUAUUGAAACAUUGUAAAGGGGAGUUGAGCUGGUCCUUCACGGACAAGUGCUCGCUUUUCUUUCAAUCUUCAUCCACCUGUGCACUUUUUGUAGAGAGACUGAGAAAAGGACUUACGUCCUGAGUAUCGGGCUUUCUAUGUCUUUAUAAACUCUUAACGUAUGUCGUUGAAUGUCUUUUACAAGGUACUUAACUGGACCUUUAAAAACUAUACAACUUUCAGCAACGGAUCUCUUGGCUCUCGCAUCGAUGAAGAACGCAGCGAAAUGCGAUAAGUAAUGUGAAUUGCAGAAUUCAGUGAAUCAUCGAAUCUUUGAACGCACCUUGCGCCUCUUGGUAUUCCGAGAGGCAUGCCUGUUUGAGCGUCAUUAAAUUCUCAACCUCAAAAAGCUUUAUGUUUUCUGAGGCUUGGAUGUGGAGGUUUUGCCGGCUCGUUAAGAGUCAGCUCCUCUGAAAUGCAUUAGUGGAAACUGUUUGUAAUCCGCAUUGGUGUGAUAAUUAUCAGCGCUAUUGUGGCUACAAGCUCAUGCAGUGUUCGUUUGGGAAGUGCAUUAAAGGGGUUUUUUUGGUUUUACUUGACCUGCACGAGUAUAGUAUCUGCUUCAAACCGUCCUAAGUUACUGGACAAUACUUGA